GGGGGGGGGGGGGGGGGGGGGGGGGGGGGGGGGGGGGGGGGGGGGGGGGGGGGGGGGGGGGGCGGGGGGGGUGGCGGGCGGGUGGGUGGCGCGUGGGUGGCCUGCCUGGUAGCGGGGGAUAACUCUUGGAAACGAUGGCUAAUCCCGCAUACUAGCCGUUGUUGCAUGACACCUGUUUGAAAGGUGCACUUGCACCACUCCCAGAUGGACCUGCGUUGGAUUAGCUAGUUGGCGUGGUAACGGCUCCCCAAGGCGACGAUACCUAGCCGACCUGAGAGGGGGAUCGGCCACACUGGGUCGGAGACACGGCCCAGACUCCUACGGGAGGCAGCAGUAGGGAAUCUUCGGAAAUGGACGGAAGUCUGACCGAGCAACGCCGCGUGAGUGAAGAAGGGUGUCGGAUCGUAAAGCUCUGUUGUAAGAGAAGAACGAGUGUGAGAGUGGAAAGUUCACACUGUGACGGUAUCUGACCAGAAAGGGACGGCUAACUACGUG
rnacentral:rRNA from 1 species